AUGAACGCUGGCGGCGUGCCUAAUACAUGCAAGUCGAGCGAACAGACGAGGAGCUUGCUCCUCUGACGUUAGCGGCGGACGGGUGAGUAACACGUGGAUAACCUACCUAUAAGACUGGGAUAACUUCGGGAAACCGGAGCUAAUACCGGAUAAUAUAUUAAACCGCAUGGUUCAAUAGUGAAAGACGGUUUUGCUGUCCCUUAUAGUUGGAUCCGCGCCGCAUUAGCUAGUUGGUAAGGUAACGGCUUACCAAGGCAACGAUGCGUAGCCGACCUGAGAGGGUGAUCGGCCACACUGGAACUGAGACACGGUCCAGACUCCUACGGGAGGCAGCAGUAGGGAAUCUUCCGCAAUGGGCGAAAGCCUGACGGAGCAACGCCGCGUGAGUGAUGAAGGUCUUCGGAUCGUAAAACUCUGUUAUUAGGGAAGAACAAAUGUGUAAGUAACUAUGCACGUCUUGACGGUACCUAAUCAGAAAGCCACGGCUAACUACGUG
rnacentral:rRNA from 1 species